rnacentral:sRNA from 1 species
AUUCCAUCAAGCUCAUUUGGGUCUCCAAAUUUUUGUUUCAGUUCCGAAUGCUCUUAAAUUCUGUUGUUUUCUUGUGUUCAAAGAGAAAACAUGGCUGAAAGCAGGUGGCUGCUUAAAAAUCUCAUUGUUGAUCCACACGGUGUCGAAAAAUUUGGCUCUUUUCUUGUCUCUCUAUUCUUGAGUUGAAGAUGGAGUGUUGGAGAAAGAGGGAUAAUCCAAAAUCAAACUCCACUUUUCCUUAUGAGGUAUUGGAAAGAAUUAUAGGGAUGUUAAAAUCUCAAAAGGACAAAAGCUCGGUUUCUUUGGUUUGCAAAGAGUGGUAUAACGGCGAGAGUGGUAUAACGCAAAAAGGUUUAAUCAUUCACGUGCUUGACCUGCCCCUCCUUUAGUCAGCCACGUCAGUUAACAAACUGACUACAGCGUGCCACGUCAAACACACACUAACGCCGUUGCAGAAAAUUUAACGGAAAGGAUCCAAUUGUUGCAAUUUUCAUAAAUU